rnacentral:rRNA from 1 species
UACGUAGGGGCGAGCGUUGUCCGGAAUUAUUGGGCGUAAAGAGCUCGUAGGCGGUGUGUCGCGUCGGCCGUGAAAACCUGCAGCUUAACUGUGGGCUUGCGGUCGAUACGGGCAUCACUGGAGUUCGGCAGGGGAGACUGGAAUUCCUGGUGUAGCGGUGAAAUGCGCAGAUAUCAGGAGGAACACCGGUGGCGAAGGCGGGUCUCUGGGCCGAUACUGACGCUGAGGAGCGAAAGCGUGGGGAGCGAACAGG